rnacentral:lncRNA from 1 species
GUGGAGGGAAGCUCACCGGUGGGGCUUCGAGCUGAGUUCCUGCUUCACUCUAUCCCAUGUUCCCUGGGAAGGUCUGAGACUAGAGCCAUAAAGCGGCCCUAACAGGGUCCUCCCUGAGUCUCCAGGAGGUGAGUUCCCACAGAACAGGCCUCCGCGCGAGGGCAUACUGGGUAGGAGAUUUUAGAACUUAAACAUAUUUGUUAUAAAAGGGUAAGCAGAGACCAGAUAUUUUCCAGUUAAAAGGUAAAAUCUAGCAGUUGUUGAAUUUAUACUCUCAAGCACUUUUUAUACAUCAUUUCCACCAGGCUUUGUAACAAUAGUGUAAGCAGGUUUAUAGUUUUUAGCUAUAAAGCAGAGGAUUAAGUUGCACCAAAUUAGGUAACUCGUUAGUUCUCUAGCCUAU